GAUGAACGCUGGCGGCGUGCCUAAUACAUGCAAGUCGAGCGAACAGACGAGGAGCUUGCUCCUCUGACGUUAGCGGCGGACGUGUGAGUAACACGUGGAUAACCUACCUAUAAGACUGGGAUAACUUCGGGAAACCGGAGCUAAUACCGGAUAAUAUAUUGAACCGCAUGGUUCAAUAGUGAAAGACGGUUUUGCUGUCACUUAUAGAUGGAUCCGCGCCGCAUUAGCUAGUUGGUAAGGUAACGGCUUACCAAGGCAACGAUGCGUAGCCGACCUGAGAGGGUGAUCGGCCACACUGGAACUGAGACACGGUCCAGACUCCUACGGGAGGCAGCAGUAGGGAAUCUUCCGCAAUGGGCGAAAGCUUGACGGAGCAACGCCGCGUGAGUGAUGAAGGUCUUCGGAUCGUAAAACUCUGUUAUUAGGGAAGAACAAAUGUGUAAGUAACUAUGCACGUCUUGACGGUACCUAAUCAGAAAGCCACGGCUAACUACGUG
rnacentral:rRNA from 1 species